UGGGGAAUNUNGCGCAAUGGGCGAAAGCCUGACGCAGCCAUGCCGCGUGAAUGAUGAAGGUCUUAGGAUUGUAAAAUUCUUUCACCGGGGACGAUAAUGACGGUACCCGGAGAAGAAGCCCCGGCUAACUUCGUGCCAGCAGCCGCGGUAAUACGAAGGGGGCUAGCGUUGCUCGGAAUUACUGGGCGUAAAGGGAGCGUAGGCGGACAUUUAAGUCAGGGGUGAAAUCCCGGGGCUCAACCUCGGAAUUGCCUUUGAUACUGGGUGUCUUGAGUGUGAGAGAGGUAUGUGGAACUCCGAGUGUAGAGGUGAAAUUCGUAGAUAUUCGGAAGAACACCAGUGGCGAAGGCGACAUACUGGCUCAUUACUGACGCUGAGGCUCGAAAGUGUGGGGAGCAAACAGGAUUAGAUACCCUGGUAGUCCACGCCGUAAACGAUGAUUGCUAGUUGUCGGGAUGCAUGCAUUUCGGUGACGCAGCUAACGCAUUAAGCAAUCCGCCUGGGGAGUACGGUCGCAAGAUUA
rnacentral:rRNA from 1 species